GGGCCGUAGCUCAGUUGGGAGAGCGCUUGAAUGGCAUUCAAGAGGUCGAGGGUUCGACUCCCUUCGGCUCC
rnacentral:tRNA from 1 species